rnacentral:rRNA from 1 species
CCCUUAGACGUUCUGGGCCGCACGCGCGCUACACUGACGAAGGCAGCGAGCUUUCCUUUACCGAAAGGUACGGGUAAUCUUUUGAAACUUCGUCGUGCUGGGGAUAGAUCCUUGCAAUUUUUGAUCUUAAACGAGGAAUGCCUAGUAAGCGCAAGUCAUCAACUUGCGUUGAUUACGUCCCUGCCCUUUGUACACACCGCCCGUCGCUACUACCGAUUGAAUGGUUUAGUGAGGCCUUCGGAUCCGCGACUCGUUUUGUGGAGAAGUUGGACAAACUCAGUCAUUUAGAGGAAGUAAAAGUCGUAACA